rnacentral:rRNA from 1 species
UACGUAGGGCGCAAGCGUUGUCCGGAAUUAUUGGGCGUAAAGAGCUCGUAGGCGGCUUGUCACGUCGGGUGUGAAAGCCCGGGGCUUAACCCCGGGUCUGCAUUCGAUACGGGGCUGGCUAGAGUGUGGUAGGGGGAGAUCGGAAUUCCUGGUGUAGCGGUGAAAUGCGCAGAUAUCAGGAGGAACACCGGUGGCGAAGGCAGAUCUCUGGGCCGUAACUGACGCUGAGGAGCGAAAGCAUGGGGAGCGAACAGG